CUUCACACUAAAGGCUCCUCAUGUUCUCAAGAUUAUUCAAGCAAGCAAGCAAUAUACUGUAUCUCUCAAGCAAUUUACUCAUACGUGUGAUUGGAAAGACGACAACCAUUUGUUCUACGACACUACUAUCUGACAGAUCAUUCAAAUGUUGGAUUCAUGGCCUACAAUAGAUGAUUUGCGACUCCAAUGUGUUUUUCUGCUGUUUUUGUUAGGUUCUUAACUCAUCAGGCCGGGCUACUGAGUAUACAUAUUGUGUUCAUCUCGCCUUCCUUCUUAGGAAAAAUCAUGUACUGAA